AUGAGCCAUAAGUCGAUGAAGUCGGAAGUUUUCGCAACCCAGAGCCCAUAUUAUCGUGGGUUCCAACAGGUUUGUUGGAUAAACGACGCUUGUAGCGCUUGAGAACAGAUGCCAGAUUCUCUUUUCCUUUGGGGAAAGCCACAUCGCCAGCUGCAGUCCCUGUUCUACCCUUUCGGCAAGAUAUAGCAAUCUCCACAUCCUUGAUUAUCUCUAAUAGCAUAGCUGCACUCGUGCAUUUCCCCUUGACUGAUUUUACCGCAGGGGGCAAAAUCCCAUUUGAGACUGGUGGGCUUGACCUUUGCUGGUGUGAUGCUGGAAUUUGAAGGCAGAAGCAUGGGAGCAUUGGAGAACGAGGCUUUGAGAAGGCCAGGUCGAUGAUUCCCUGUAGCAAAUACGGUUCACAUCACGAUGAAGAAAUGGUACUGUUACAGUCACAAACAUGAGAAAACCAUAUGGAAAAUGCAAAAUAGAAUGAAUAUCGAUGUUUCUUGCCACUUUAUUCACAGGUGGGCUUAAAGCGUGACACAAGAAUAAAAAAAUGGAGCACACAUAGCACUACCUAAGUGCAUAAGCAUGGACACGAGGGUUUCCAAAUAUAUAGCAAAUUAAAGAAAAUUAUUUUUUAAGGUAUCUAUAAGUGUAAAUGCAGCACAAAUGCAACAAUCACAAAUCAAUACAUUCAUUACAUAACAUAGCUGAAUUGAAGAUGUUUCAAAGAAUGAAUGCUACAAUAGAAAUAACAAAAAAAAACAGCAAUCUUAAGCUAUAUUUGUUUCCUAGAAAAUUUUAGGGAAAAUGAGGAAAUAAAAUAGAGAGGAAAAGCAGAAAGAACAGAAAAAAAUUAAAGUCAAUAAAUUAUUUUUAUUCCUUCAAACUCAUUUUACUUAUUUUAAUUCUUCUAUAUAAAGAUUAAAUAAUUUAAAAAUAUACAAGUUUAUAACUAAUUUUAAUUAUAUUUGAUUUUCUUGCAUAUUUUUCAUGGUAAAACCAAACAUGAGAAAAUUAUUUUUCUUUCCUAAGUACUUUCCUAGAACCAAACAUAGUAAUAAAAAAUUAUGAUAUGUGAGAGAGUUAGGACUGCCACUGCUUGAAAACCAGUUUAGACUUCACAAAGAUGGCCUGGUAAAGUUGCUGCAAAGAUGAAGAAGUACACCAGUAAGGAGUAAUUUGGUGUGAAUUGAAGACACAAAGCCAAGAGGGGAAGCCCAAAAAGAACAAUAGCCCAAGUUAUAAGAAACUUUCACCCAAAAAGAUAAGCUACCAGAAGAGAAUGGAGGAAAAGGCAUGGCCCUAGACAUUAAAGUGAAGGAAAAGAAAUUGUGGUGCUGACCCCAAGCACUGAGACAAGACAUUGUUGAAUUGAGUUGUUUGGUGCCCCACUCACUGGAAAAAUAGACAUCAGUUUGCCUUGGAUCUUGCUCAAUUCUAUGUAACAAGAAGCAAACUUAAAUUUUCUCACCUCUACUAGAAAGGGGUGAUAAAAAAUUAUCCAGAGGAUAUUGAAUCUAGAUAAGGUUUAGACCAUGACAAUAUAAAUAUAGUUGCCAAAUGAGCCAUUUGAUGCCAUGAUUUCUCAGGAAAGAAGCUAGCUCAAUCAAGUUGUCUUAAUAGUUGCAGAAAUAAUCAUGGCAGAUUGCUCCCUAAGGGACCCAUUAGUGGAGAAAUUUGCUGCAUUAAAGAUGAGCAUAUCUUAUUUGGUCAUUAAGGAGUAGCUAUAUAUUCUCAGAGAAAAUACUGAUUUUAAAUCAGGCCAUGGACUUCAAUCAAGUGAUAUUAGCAUAAACAAAUAGCAGAGCAUUUUCAAAAUUUACCUGAAGACGGUUGAGUACAUAAGUAUAUUUUCCCCAUAGCUCUGGUCGGCUUUCCAUAAAGGACAGAUCAAGAAUUCGAUGAAUGCACCACACCCCAAAGCUUAUUACCAAAUCCACUCUCCAUACACAGCCCUCUCCACAAUGAGGAACCGAGGAAACAAGCAGUAGUGCAGAACCAGAUUUCCUAUCAGAAGAAGAGUACUGAGCCUCCCCCAUGUUAACCCCCCAGCUAAUAUCUCUGGUUUCAGCCUCAUAAAGAAAUUUCUCCCUCGCAGCAACACGAUAAAUAAGAUCCUCAUCUGCACCUUCAUUCGGUCUAAACAACCAAUCAGAUCCUUCCAGUUUGAUGAGCCUCACAAUACAAUGUCGGAAAGAUUGAAGAAGCUUGGCCUCCAAAUGCAGAAGAGAAGAAGCAUCUCGAGUAAUUGAAUUUGACCUACUUCCAACUCCUUCACCCACAACACUACGAGUUUUAUCAGCCACACCAAACUGCUCAAAAGGCUGUCUAGACCAGAGGGAUCCAGUGUCUGAACUUGUACUCAAUGGCAAGGAAAAAGGAUCUCUAUAUGCUUUUGAUGGAGAGAGUUCAUCAAAUGCCAGAGGACCCCGGGUUGUCGAACCAGUAUUUGAGUACAGGGAUUGUUCAUAGGUUGAAUGAUCAAUAGAUGUGCGAUCAUAGGUUGUUCGACCAAUAGAUUGCCCAAAACCAACAGUAUUGUCCCAUUGAGCACUCCUAUCAGACAAAUAUAAAUUCCGAAGAGGAACUGAGAUUCCUGAAAUAUCAGGCAAACUAUGGUACUUCUUUGUAUUGGCUGGAAUCCCCCCAGUCUCGGCAGGUCCUGAGGAGCACAUUUCAUAAUAUGCUCUUUCAGAUUGCAAAGCACUGUUUCUCGAUACUGCACGGUUCUGAAAACCAGAUGCUUGUACAGAGCCUAACCCAUUUUGCAGCUUUUGCCCCAAAGCAAAAGAAAGUGGAUCUCUAUAGUUUGCAGGGCCCAAAGAAGGGGAUUUUGGGGGUGUUGGCUCAAUUGGGGGAUUCAUAUAAUCCGAACUUUUAUCCUUAGCAAUACGACUGAGAUAAGAGGCAAUCUGAUAUCCAUGUACAGUGGCUGGCUGAUAAUCCAAGCCAUCAGAAGAGGGUGGAAGACGCAAACUAGAGUAGCGCCUCUCACCAGCAUCAAGAACAUUGCGGCUGGAAUUUUGCACAUAUGCAUCCAGCAUUUGAAUGUUGUUGGACCAAAAUGAAGAAGACCCCCUUUGAACCCCCCUAUAAGAAGAAUCCAUACUGCUUUGCAUUGUCUGCUGCCUGGGGGAAUCAUAUAAACUUGAACUGAUCAGGGAAUCUGAUCCUCUUCCUCCCACAGAUGGGAAGUACCCAGUAAAUUCCUUCUCGAUACUGUCCACUUUCAGUGAGGAAAUCGCAGGUUUCGAAUCUAGCCCCAGCAACAAAUCCAGUUUCUUAGCCUUUGCUUCUGGAGUUGCCUGACCAUGGAAAUCAUACAAUUGUCCCCAAAACUCAUCAAGAACUGCAGCUAACUGACGUCUUGCAGCACGACCCAACCCAGCUAGUCUUGAAAGACUUCCAGUACCAUUCCCACCUUCAUCACUUUUCCCACUGAGACUCCUAAAUGAUCCUGGACCCUCAGAUGUCAAAGAAGGGCUGCUUCCAGAAAUCUCUUUGGAAGCUUCUUCAGGCUCCCAAGCAUCUCCCUCCUCGUCAUCCUUCUCAAUCUGUGAGUCUCCUUCUAUUCCAACAGUCUUUUCAACUGGGUCCACUGAUUCAAUCUUCAAGGUGCUGGUAUCCAGCAAGUCAACAUGAGAGACUUCAUUAACCACAGUGGUGGGUGAUACUGACUCUACUGUAGAUUCUGGUUUCUCUGAGUGACAUAUUGGGGAGCUGGGAAAUGUAAUAUUAGAACAAUUCUCUUCAAUAGUAGUCAAUAUAGGCCCGUGAUCAGAAUCCAUGAUUGUUUCAGGCAAAUCAAAAUCAAAAUUUUCCACUGGCAUAUCCAAAUGACUCCCAAAGGAUUUCUCCAACGCUGGUGCUGGUUCUUGCUUGUGAACAGGAUCCUCUCCAUGAUAUCUAGAGUCCAUAAAAUCGAUUUCCUCUCUCUCAAAGGAUGGCUCAGUUACAGCCUUUGGUGAAUCCCAGUUCCAUGCCUGUGCAUCUGAUCUGGCACUAGCAGAUUUUAAUGGGGUGGCAGCCAGCCAAAGCAUAAAACAGAGUGAUGUACAUGCAGUGGUGAGUAGAAGAAAAUAUGAGCCAGAUGUAGUAUUCCCAAUGUUCCAUCGCAAGUUACCCACCCAAUCACUAUUUCCAAAUAUCAUCUCUACAACAAAUAUGAUCUUUAAGCCAAGCAUCCCAACUAAUGCAACUACGGCGAGGAACUCCACAAACUGAGAAACUUUGUAGACACCCAUUAUUGAUCUUGAGGAGGCAACCCGGACAAGAGGGAUGACAGAAGAUGGAAGGAACAUAGCUACCAUAACCUGCAUGAACAAAAGCAACUGAUAUGCCCCUUCAGCUCCUGAAGUCCUCACACAGUACAGGGCUGGAAUAAUCGCAAUUAUCCUGAUUGUAGCAUGAUGAAGCCAUCCAGGAAUGUCCAUUCUCAAUAAAUGAUGCAAGACUACUUGACCGCCAAGAUCCCAGGUUAAUGCUGUGAUUUGAUUACAUAGAAAUAGAACCAGUAAAAAGAAAACAGGUGCAAUUGGACUCCUAAAUACCUGUAUCAAUGUUUUGAAAAAAUAAAAUUUAUUCAGUAUUCAUCAAAUUAAUGCAGAAAAUAAAAUUGCUCAUGAAGCAAUUAUCUAAACAGGAUUUGUUAAAUGUCAAAAGGAACCAGUAAUAAUGGAAAAGUUGAACCUGAUCCAUUAGAGACAUAGCAUCCUGAAAUGUAAGCAAAACAAGGCCUGUGCUAUAGAACACAUUUGCUGCAGCAUUCAUCAGCACAUAAUUCAGCAAGAAAAUGCCACUGAAGACGAAUAAGAUCGCAAAAAUAUGACUAUGACACAAAGCAGCUUUGGAAACAUUUGGUAGUCCUUGAUGCCGCUGCAAGAAUAUGAAAGAUUAACAAAAGUUAGAACUUCGGUGAGAAAACAUAUGAAGAAAAUGCUUAGUUAAAUCACAAAACAAUUCCUAUAAUGAGGAGGAUUUUAGGACUCCUUCCUCACAAAUGAGAAUAGCAUAGUUUCUAGGAAUGUUACAAUUUGAAAGAAAUAUUACUGUCCUUAAAUUCUGCAUGUUCUUAUUGCAGCUUGACUUUUCUCCAAUGUGGAGGCUUACAUGGACAAUCUAGACCAAUCCAUCUUAUUGGAACACAGGGUAGGCCACAUCAACAAUGCAUUUAUUCACCUCAGCCAAGAGGCCUCUUUUCAAGUUCUACCCCAUAAAAAAUUAGGCCAACAGAAAGAGAAAAGGAACUGUGAAACAACAGGAAAACCUGUUUCUCAAGGAAAUCACUAGAAUACUUUGAAGUACAUAUAUGAACAUAUGUAUAGAUAUGCAUGAUGUGAUUUUUUUCUCUGGAUCUACAGUAAAAUAAGUUGAGUUUUAUUGGGAAUUGGAGCAACAAGAGAUCCAACCAAGACAUUGAUAUGUGAGUGCCCCUUGUUCCCAACAUACAUGCAUUAAAUGUAAUGAGCAUCUUUUGCUCAGAUAUUUCACUGUUAUAUGAGCACAUGCAUCCAUGCCUACUAACACCAUCAUCUACCCCAGCAGAAAGGAAAUAAUAAUGUCAUUAUGUGUAUGUAUGAUCAAAUCAAAAGAGGAGAGCCCCAAGGUAUGUGGAUAACAUCCCCAGAAAAUAAGAAGACUUCAAUAGAGCACAGUCAUGAGCAGAUAAAUCUCCAGAAAAUGAAAAUAUACAACAUGACAAAGAUCUAGAUCAACAACUGCUGUGCACCAGUAAUCUAUCACAACUUUAUUAACAUACUGAUACUUUAUGACCAUAUUAUUUGUUAUUUAUCAAUAGAAAAGCUAAGUAUUCACCAUGAAAAUUGUUCAUAUUCGAAUAACAAAGUGCCACAUGUCAACAAUCUAACAAGACAAUAUUGGUAGAUCAGUAAUUCAUUUAUCAGCUCAAUCAGACUAGUGAAAUAGUACGAAGCACAAAAACAGCAUAUUAUUAUAUUAUGACUUAAUGAAAAUGUCUCUGUGAUACCCGUCAGCAUAAUAAGGAAAGAAAUAGGUUGGCACUUGGUCCAUUCCUUAGAUAGUUAUUAGUAAUCAUCCCUUCAGAAAUUUAACUCAUUGAUGGACAAGUAAUUUGACCUUGCCAUUUUCAUAUAUCUCUGUACUUUUUCUUCCUCACCUAGCUUAUAGCUCUCGUCUUGCACUGUUAAGAUGUGCAUGGAUAAUUGGCAUCAAAGAAUUAACACCACAUUGUUACACACAAGAUAAACACACAGACACAAAACUACUUCAUAGAUAACACUCCUUGAAAGGCCCCAUGAUUACCAGAUCAGGGACAAGAAGCAACCUAAACUAGGAGGCAUUGUCAUAUGCCACUUAACAAAGAUAAGUUGCCUUGUAAAGAAGAAAUCGGUACCAAUUACCAAUUCAAGAAAGUAUGGAUGCACAUAGCAUGUAUUUUAGUAAUAAUAAGCAUUGCCAAGAGCUUCUAUAAAUAGUAGAAACCAUGCAUGAUACAUUCCCAAAUGCACCAAUAGCAGUUACAAGUUGUUAAACAGACACUGAGAAUACACCUGACAGCAACCUGAGGUAGAGGUGCUUUCAAGUUAUGAGAGAUUACAUGAAAUGUUGCAUAUGGGAAAAAGACAUGAUUGAAAAAUGUGUUCAAGGACCAUUACAUUGGCAUGCAGCUUCAUCCUAAUCCAAAUCUACCUUCUUCCUAAACAAUAACAACAGCCAAGAACUAGAUAAUAACACAACUGGGUCAAAGUCUAGUACCAAUAUGCAGCAUACAUACCGGUCCACUCUGGAAAUAUACAUAGCAAAAGAAAUAACUGACCAGGCCACACUCACAUGAAAGCAAGCAUACCCAACCUAACCUACAUCAACUAAUCCUCAGCCUAGGGUUCAAACUUGGAAAUGUGGGGCUUGGUCUAAAGUUGAUUAAACUAUAAAUAACCUCCCAAUUUCCUCUUAUACUAUUUCCACAGAAGAGGACCAGUUAUCAAAGUUAGCCAUUCCUCAGUUUAAAAAUACCCCAGUUGCACAUAGUGCCAUCCCGUAAAAAUCAACUGGGAAGAUUUCAAUUCAGGGACUGGCGUAUUAUAAGGUGAAGAGAAUAUGACGUGGUAGAGCCCAAAUACACACAUGAUUUUCAUAUCAUAUGGUCCAAAACUGUAGGCCAUCACAAUGAUGUGAUAAAUAAGUCACAUUGCUCAAUCCAAGUAUUUUGAUCAGAAAUCUUAAAGGGGAGGAACCUUUCCACCUUUCCACUUUCCCAAAUAUCAAUCAAAAUUUAUGGAUGUAUGAACUCAGUUCAGCUCAACAAAACCAUACCUCAAUCAAAAGGAUCGAUAGGAUUGGCCACAUUUUGACUAAUGGUAUGCCAGUUUCAACAUAUUUGCCCUGAGACCAGUUGUCUAAAAACCAUGGAGCUAAAAAUGCAGUAUAGGCAGUUCAUAAUUUAAAGCUAGCGACUAGUCCCCAAAAACAAUAAUGAUAAUAAACUAUCACAUUGCUCAACCCAACUAUCAAGCUUAGCAGCAUCUCUAAUGUCUAAAAACCUUGUUUUUUUAAAAAUCCUCUUCAUGUCCUUUCAGUAACUAUAAUCCCUUUUGAACCUUUACCCAAGCAUGCAUGCAAGCGCACAUACUCAUGCCUAUACAUUUAGAGAAAGGGAAGAAGAAAGGGAAGGGGAUGUGGGGGGAUGGAUGGAAGACACAACACACACACACAGAGGGAGGGAGGGAGGGAGGGAGUUACCUUUACAAUCGAAGAAUGGAGAUAAAAAUUAUGAGGCAUAAUAUUAGCUCCAAGAAGACUCAUCAAUGCAAAUGCACUCUCCCCACUGAACUUUGUUGGCAUCCCAUUAAUUGAAAGUGGAAUUUCUGGUAGACUGAUGAGUACUCCAAGAGCAUAGCAAAGCAAUACAAAACCUACCAUCCAUAUGCAUAAGAAUUUUGCCUUGCCAUUUUCCUGUAUAUGAGCAUUAGCAAUAUUAAACUGAUUUUCUAUGUUGAUGUAGAAUAAUGGAUGUGAAACAAAAAAGCAAAAAAAUAACCAGGCUUACCAGGAGGGUGGCAAAAAGUGGAAAUAAAACAGCAUCAAUAGCAGUCAAAAAGACACAGCUGAACAAGUCCGCCCCAAACAUGAGAUGAAGUCCAUGGGCAAUGCCCAGGAUCUAGCACAAACAAUUCAAUUAUAUGUCGGCAAUGGAACAAGAAUCAUUGUCACUUGUGCUUCUGCUAUAUGACAAUUUGGAUACAAAAGAGUUUAUAUACUAUAACGAAGAAUGAGAAUAUACCAUAGUAAGGUCCAGAGCAAUCAUGGAAAGCUCUGUUUGAAUUCCAAGGAGCAUGCAUGUGGACUUGUCAUACUCAUCACUGCAAAUCUUUGGUAUCACAAAAGGAAAAAAUUAUGCAACCAUUUAAAAAAUCAAUAACAUAAAAAAGUAAAAUAAAACAACAGUCUCAUGCAUAUAAGAAGUUCUUUGUAAUCCUGAGCACUAAUAUUUGCCAUUCAGAAUUUGAUGCAACAGAAUCAGCACUUAUAUGUAUAAUACUGGCAUAAAAGAAAUGAUACCUGUGCAAGAUCUCUUCCGGUCACAACACCAAUCCGGGCUGCCAAACACUGGCAUAAAACAGCAGCAAAAUUGAAUACAAGCAUUAGAGCAACCAGAUCAAACCCAAAUCGGGCACCACCCUCAACAACUGCAGCCCACUUUCCUGGAUCGACAUAUCCAAUUGAUAUCAGAAGCAUAGGAAAAACAGCAGGAAGGAACUGAUGCCGAACAUCUGGCAUAUGGUUAGCGUUAGAAAUCUCAGCUUCCAUAUUGUUUAGUGAUUCUCCAAACAACUAGAAAUCCCGAGUCCACUAUGAUACGAUUGAUUAUUCUAGGUCACCAAAGAGCCUCUUAAUAAGUGCCAACCUCAAUAAUUUACAUGGUUGCUUAUUGCAGACUUCUUUCCAGUACAACAUCGCUGGUCUUCACAAGUCAUUGAAUCAGACAUUUGCAAUUUCUGUGGUUAAUCACAACCAAGUGUACCCACCACAUAUAUCCUAGCUAGAUCCCAGGUCUUUGUAGAAUAUAAACAAGUUCAUCCACAUACAUCCUCUAUAUCACAAACCCCUUGAUCCACUUGCUUCAAUCAAUCCUAAAAGCUCUUCAUGAUAGCACAUUUAGUUCCAUCAACAGCUGGCUUGACAAAAUUUUUAUUACUAGCUGAAAUCAUCAGAUGGAAAUUGGACCCUU
rnacentral:lncRNA from 1 species